rnacentral:rRNA from 1 species
AACGUAGGGGACAAGCGUUAUCCGGAUUUACUGGGCGUAAAGCGCCCGUAGGCGGCCUGACAAGUUGGACGUGAAAGCUCCUGGCUUAACUGGGAGAGGCCGUUCAAAACUGACAAGCUAGAGUCUGGAAGAGGAGCGUGGAACUCCUAGUGUAGAGGUGGAAUUCGUAGAUAUUAGGAAGAACACCAGUGGCGAAGGCGGCUCACUGGUCCGGUACUGACGCUGAGGUGCGAAAGCGUGGGGAGCAAACAGG